rnacentral:rRNA from 1 species
GACGAACGCUGGCGGCGUGCUUAACACAUGCAAGUCGAACGGAGCCUAUCGGAUAGAAGUUUUCGGACGGACAUUGAGAAGCUUAGUGGCGGACGGGUGAGUAACGCGUGAGAAACCUGCCUUUCAGUGGGGGACAACAGUUGGAAACGACUGCUAAUACCGCAUAAUGUUUCGGAAGGGCAUCCUUCUGAAACCAAAGCUUUAUGUGCUGAGAGAUGGUCUCGCGUCUGAUUAGCUAGAUGGCGGGGUAACGGCCCACCAUGGCGACGAUCAGUAGCCGGUCUGAGAGGAUGAACGGCCACAUUGGGACUGAGAUACGGCCCAGACUCCUACGGGAGCAGCAGUGGGGAAUAUUGGGCAAUGGGGGAAACCCUGACCCAGCAACGCCGCGUGAAGGAAGAAGGCC